UGCUAGUUUGCCAUAUAAUCUAUCAGUGUUUGAACUUGUCACUGUGAAAAUGAGUGUAAAGUUUCUUCUAUUUCUCCUCUCAAUUCAAAUGGCAUAUUUUUUGGCAAUUGCUUGUACAACUGGGCAAGUAAGAUUGGCUAAUGGUGCUACUUCUAAUCAAGGUCGUGUUGAAAUAUGUAUCAAUGGAGUGUGGGGCACAGUUUGUGAUGACUUUUGGGUAACUAAUAAUAAUGCAAGAGUUGUAUGUAGACAAUUGGGAUACAGUACUGAUGGGGCUAGAGCUUUUACACAUGCUUAUUAUGGCCAGGGCACUGGUCCUAUAGUUUUAGAUAAUGUGGUCUGCUCUGGUAAUGAAUCUAACCUACUGGCUUGCUCAUCAUAUAUUCUUGGAACUCAUAACUGUGAUCAUUCAGAAGAUGUAGGAGUGUCAUGCUCUUCUUUACCAGCAUCUUACCCAUUUUGUUCUUCCUCAACUUGUGACUGUUCUUAUCAGAGUAGUGUUAAUGUCAGCACCUUAAUAGCCACUGCUACUCCUAAUGCUGUAGGAGGUACAGCAGCAGCAAAAGCAUCAGCAAUUGUACUGGCUGUACUACUAUUGAUACUGAUCAUCAUAAUAUCACUAAUGUCACUGUCUCUCAUUUAUUACUACAGAACAAGAAAGGCUGUAAAUAAUAAAGAACCAGUUUGUGAUGACAGAAGAAGUUCAACUCUUAAAGAAUUAGAAUAUGAAGAUGUAGCAAAUAGUGAAGUUGUAUUUAACAUGAGUUAUGAUGGUCGACAAGACUCAUUAGGCAGUGCAUCACUCCCAUUGCCACCUAUUCCUGAAGAUCUAUAUGAUAGGAUUUAUACUGAAAUUAAAGAUUGUUAUUUAUGAAGAACAACUGCAAAAUAAUUGGCAUAUUAAAACUGAAAAAAUAGAGAAAACUAUUUCAUUUAUUAACAUAUAGCAAUAGUACUUGCAUGUCUUAGAUAAUGCCACGUGUUUUACAUAGCUCAAUACAAAUUAGAAACAGGAAUGAAUGUAUCAUACAUCAGCUUAUUCAACACACCCCUCCACAAUCAACUCCCUCGUAGCUUGUGCUUGUUAUUAUGAAGUUUCUUCUAUUUCUUUUCUCAAUUCAGGUGUCAUGCUUUAUUGUAAAUGCUUGUACAACUGGGGAAGUAAGAUUGGUCAAUGGUGCUACUCCUAAUCAAGGACGUGUUGAGAUAUGUAUCAAUGGAGUGUGGGGCACAGUUUGUGAUGACUUUUGGACUAAUAAUAAUGCCAAAGUUGUUUGUAGACAAUUGGGAUACAGUACUGAUGGUGAGUUGGCUCUCUGUCUC